rnacentral:rRNA from 1 species
AUGAGAAAUUGCUUGCAGCUGGCGGAUUUGAGGCUGAGGGAUUGUUCGUAUAUCGGAGCUCCUUUUCACGUCAAUUUUACUACCUCAAGGUUGAAGAAUCUGCAAGUGGACAACUGCAAUAUUUUGAAAAUCUGUCUGACUUCAUUGCCUUGUCUUGAAACAUUUGCUUGUCGGGGUCAGCCAACCAAAUUAUGCUAUGGUGAGGUGCCUCGACUUAGGCAUGUGAGUUUGGACUUCUUGGAAAUUGGAUACAAGUAUACUGGUGAGGAUCAUUUGCUUCCUAGAAAAAAAUACCCAUCCACUAGGCAGAUUCUUUAA